rnacentral:lncRNA from 1 species
UCCACAACCUCUCUGAGCAGCCUGUUCCAGGACUCUGCCACCCUCAAAGAAGUUCCUCCUCAUGUUUAGGAUCUUUUAGGGAUGCAUUAUAAUUCUUUAUAUAUAUAUUCUAUAUUUCUCCAUUAGGAGCAGACAGAAGAUCCAUGGAGACAGAAAGAGAUGCCAGGAAGUCUGUAACACUUGAUGGCUCCAAAGUUAAUCAUCAAAGUCUGCAGGGGUCGUCUCUGGCUAAGCAACAUGCCGUCCUGUGAUAUGUGCAAGGAUAACAGGAAAAAUAGUGUCUGCUUCCUGACGAGGGGAAUUUGGCUUAUCUGUGCUUCCCUGUGUCCCUGGGGACUUCAAGUAAGUUACCUGCUCUUCUAAAUGUGCUUAUGAUGGCUCUGAUGAUGCACCUCUGAACUUUUUUUCUUUUUUCUUUUUUAUUCUUUUUUUCUG